GGCAGAAUUUUUCCGCACUGGUGGUCACAUCUUCAGUUCCAACGUGGUCCAAUAACUUCGGGCAGAUUUCUGGCGAUAUCUCUCUCUCUCCCUCCCGUCAGCUGCAUCUCAACAGGUAAAAGGCAGUCUCUCCUACCCCUCUUUUUCUUCCUCUCGGUCUUGUUCCUAUUUGUGGCAGGACUUCGGGAGGACGAGGACGAGACGUCAGACAGUGGAGCCGGUGCAUGGUGGAUGCACUAUUUGGUCAUCUCCGACUACUAAUCAGGACCACGUUUCCGUACAGUCAAAUUACUGGCAGAAUUUUUCCGCACUGGUGGUCACAUCUUCAGUUCCAACGUGGUCCAAUAACUUCGGGCAGAUUUCUGGCGACUAAAUUCCUCGACUACAACGCCAGGUUCUACCAUUCUUGUUCUAUUAUAUUCUAUUGCCUGUUCAUUCUUUGAUAUUAGUUGUGUGUAUCCAGUUUAUUGUUUUAUUCUUUCUUAUUAGUUGUGUAUAUACAUUCUAUUAUAUUCUAUUGCCCGUUCAUUCUUUGAUAUUAGUUGUGUGUAUCUAGUUUAUUGUUUUAUUCUUUCUUAUUAGUUGUGUAUAUAAUGUGUUGUGUUCUCCAAGAUUUGUUAUAUUUUUCUUGUGUUCUCUCCUCUGCUUUUUUGUGGGUGCGUGUGGGUGUGUUCUGUUUUCUUGGACAGGUGAGUAUUUUACCGGCGAGGAUUUCCGGCAAGCCACAGUACUCCCGGUGACUCCCGUCCAGACUCGCNNN
rnacentral:lncRNA from 1 species